GUGCUUGCUUAGGCAGCACAUAUCCUAAAAUUGGAAUGAUAGAGUAGAAUAGAAUGCCCCCCCAUAUACAAGGAUGAUACACAAAUUCAUGAAGUGUUCCAUAUUUUU
rnacentral:snRNA from 1 species